rnacentral:sRNA from 1 species
AGUGGCAGUGUGGCAAUAAUCGAGCCAUUCCACAAAUAACGACGGUGUGAUGUCAUCUCGAUCAUCAACAGUCUUGGGGACAAGUUAUAUCUUGGAAAUUCUAUUAUCUUUGCGUUCGUCAGGUUCUAUAUAUUUUUAUAAAGGAUGUCAUUACACGGGGUGUGUUGUUUAUCAUUCAACUAACUACAGGUAGUUUAACUAACGACUUACCUAAUCUAUCAUCGAAUCGGAAUGAUGUCAUCUGGGAUCUCCAUCUCACUGUUCACAUGCUUGUCUCAAGUUCAAGUUCUCCUCGCCUGGAUUGAACCUGUCCAUGCCACUCGGUUUAAACUACCCUAUUUAUCCAGCUAAACUGGGAAAGCCAGUGUUUUAAAACCUAGGCAUUGGGUUUUUCAUGUGGAGGAACGAACCGCGCCGAACAAUGAUGGAGCUGGGUGCUUGCUAGGGCAGUUAAUUUUAGAUGGAACGACUGACUGACAGUCCGUCCCCCCAGUUUUCCCACGUGGGGAUAGCGGCUUACUUCCACAUCCCGUCUGUUCGGGGCAAGCCAGCCAGCCCCGGCCGGUCUAGCCCCAUGAUUUCCGCCUGGCGCCCCCAAAAGAUAGGGAUGGAUAAAGAGGGUAGUGCCUUGAGAGCCCGAAAAAUCAUAUGGCACAUGAAUACUGGAUAACCAGUGGAUAUGGAUAUGAUACACGGCCAUGGGACGUAUGGGGCCUGCUGCAAUGAUGAUGACGAUGAUGAUGAUGAUAUGCACACGCAAUGUAUGGAUGCAAUGUACGGUACUAUGUGUUGUACGGUCCAGCACAUUCAUCAUGACAUUGAUGAAACCACACACACACACACACACACACACACACACACACACACACACAGGGGAAAAGAUAAAAAGAGAGAAAGAAGGUUUAAUAACAAUGGAAAAAAAAAAAAAAGACGCACACUGGAGCCCACUCAUCCAUCCGCCCAGGAUCCCAGGCAAGGCGCAAUUUAAAUCCCUCAUACAAAAAGAGCCGUUAAAACGGCUCUGAUAAUAUCCAAUCUUAAUAUCACCUGUGCGAGGUUUCCUGGGAGAAAAAGCGGCUCCACACGUCUCUCUCCGCGUUUUGCUUUUGCCGAUCAGAGAAGAAUAGAACAAAACUGCUGUUGAGGUAUGUGCGGUAUGUACGGUAUGUAACGGCGGGGUGGUGUGUGCAUCCCCCACAGGGACCAAGUCAAGUCGCCAAUUGCACGCCGUUGAGCAUUAUCCAUGGAUCAGACAGAAUACUGAUAAGAAGCAGAAGCAGGAGAAAAGAGGCAUCUGUAUCGCCCGCCUUUUUCCGCCCGAUUGAACACGCAGUGAGACGGGUAAUCGCAGAUCUUGAGUCCAUGUCUCUUCAAAAUGAAGAAAAAUACCCCUUGCCAGCUAUAUUAUUACACCAUGCAUCACAUAGUUAUCCCUUCAGCUCAAUGUCAAAAAAAAAAAAAAAGGUAAGAAAAAAGAAAUAAAAAACCACCCUGGUCCCUGGGUUUAUUUUUAGCCAUGCACUGCGCAACUCGUCGUAACCAUGUCUCGUAUUUCAGCGGCCGAUGCUGGCGGGUUUCAACGCCCGAGCUAGGCGGCUGGGGACCUUUCCGUCUUGUAAGAUAACGGUAUUAACAUGAACUAAAUGUUAUCUUGUGAUUGAUUAUAUCUCGAAAGCGAAAAAAGAUCAUAUCAAUCGACGUCCAGUGUUGGUUGUGCAAAUGAACAUUUUCCCCCAAAGCCUUUUUUGAGGAUUUAUUUUAUUUAUUAUUUAUUAUUUAACCUGUUAGGCCUGGAGGCGGGUCUACGAAACUGAACAUGUUCAUCGACGUGAUCUUGAAUUCAAAUUCAAGGCUUUCAACGGGUGGACGGGUUUUGGGGUUGUGUGUUAUCAGCCAGGUUUCAUUGGCUGGCGGCCGUUUUUUUUUAUCUGAUUGGGUACUUGGAAGUAGACGUUGAUUUAUUUAUGUUGGCCCGUUUUUGCUUGCUGAUUGGUAAAAAGCUGGAGGUUUAUCUAUCAAGGUUUUGGUUUUGGUUUUGGUUGGUGAACUUGAUUUGAUGUUGUUGAAUGAUGAAUGAUUGAAGUUGGUUUUCAUGCUGCUGCCAAUUGUUUGGCAUCUUAAAAAUAAAGAUCCAUGGAAAUUUGAUAGCGUGUAUUGACAAAGUGAUUGCUGGCAAGUUAGAAAUAUGGAUGCGAUGCAAGAGAGAACGGGGGAACGAUAUAUGUCCUAGCGUGGUCGAAAUUGGAGAAUUGAUAACUGCAUAGAUAGAUAGAUCUUAUAGCUGUGUGAGGGCCGUUGUGAGUAGGUUAUAUACAUGCAAAAAUAUCUUGUCUCAAUACGUUCGUUAUCUUCGGCUUUCCGAAAGCAACGGCCGUUUUUCACCCCACAUGGCAAUUCGUCGCAAUCAAUCCAGCAUCGAUUCACAACCAGUUCCACCGGGAAAAGACCGACCCAGCAGUGCGUCCAAUUCAGAUAUGGAGGGGAUUUCUGUUUUCAGCAAAACGCUGUGUGCGAAUUUGAUUUAAGCUUCAUAUUGGUGGAGGCAAAUUCUACUUUGGGGUUGGAGAUGGUAGGAGUUGCGGCGCGAACCCGUGGGGAUCCUACAGCAGCAGUUGCUGAGCCUAGAAUGAGAUGGAGUAUUGAAAGACGUAUUUAUCAUUUUUCGACACGGCCUUCUAUCUAGAUCGCAUAUGAACAGACCCAGUAGGUUAUUAGCCUGACUGUAGUCGAUUUCAAUGUUUUGUGGGUAUGUGUGCAGAUUGAAGUUGAAAAGUGUGAAUGUUUUGGCCCAUCUGGAAGGUGGUGACGUCGCCUGUGACACGGAUAGCAUAAUUAGCGGUCACUCCUUGUAUCGUUGCUUGCUUGAAUCAGCGAUUGGUAUGGUCUUCAUGAUUCCGCAUCCAUUUCAAUACCCAUUCGACCAGGAUGCCAAAAUCCUCAGAUAUCUGCAGCACCCUGGUGAGGCUUUGGUGGAGGUGCUGCGAUUCUGUUCUGGAUGUAUCGUUCAAGGGUCCUUCUCCGCUGUCGUUUAUGUCAUCCCACAUUCCACCAACCCGUGAGACCGUGAUGUUACCAUUGAGUCCGAUAUCUAUAUUGAUUGUUAUCGUCGUCGGGUUUUCCAUGGACGCAUUUGGUCCUCUCUUAGGCGCGUUGAAUAAUAGCAUUAAGGAUGGUGGCCCUAAUAUCGGAGUUCGUAAAGAUAUGUCUAUUUUCCGGUCAUCAAUUGUCGGCGCAGGGGCAAAAGGCGCGGUAACUUGAGAAUCAAGGCCGUUGCUUCUCUCGAUCCCAUGCUUGGAAUCAUCACGCGAAAGCAUAGCGUUCAGUUUGGAUACUGUAGGGCUGAUAUUGCUUAUGAACGUGACGUCAGACUUGGACGUCUGGUUUGGCGAGGCUGAGAUUACCGAGUGGGCUGAGGGAGAUUUGCUCGACCUGACAGUUUGGUUGUUUCGGCCAACAAAUACUCUGUGAAGGAGGCUAGACAAUAGUGCGUACUGGCGUAGGAUCUACGCACAAUGGUAAGUAGCUGAUCAUGAAGCAAUGGGAAUUUGAAAGUAAAAAAGUAAAGGGGGUGAAUGUCUAUGGACUCACAGGAAGAACAUCAGCCAACUGCCGAGGAUGAGAAAACGGAAGAUCACGUAUGGUGCGUCCGACAAUAUGCUCAAAGGGGUGGAAAGUGUAUAUAUGCCGGUGUUUUCUCGGUUGGCAAUCGUCGUCAAAGCUAUACACAAUUUUUUCAUGAAUUCUUCCGUUGGACGCUGCCAAACUAUUAUCGUCUUGACCGUCUCCUGUCGAAGCUAAGUUUGGCAGAGGAACUACCAGUCCAUCAUAUGUAACCGUUUUGGGCUCCACGGGCAUGUUCAUCCCAAGUAGCCUGUAUACUUCCGCUGCUGCGAUUAUAGGCAUAUCGAUAGGAGGUUCCAAGCGCGCAACGAAACGACGAUUUGGUGUCGUAGUACCCAAGGCAGUAGAAUCGAGAGGAACAUCGUUUGGGUUGCUGACGAGGGUGGCAGGAGGGUCAAUCCAGUUGACUAACAAAAUCUCAGAGUCGUUCCCGUCGGCGGUUAAAGAGGACUCCCCAUUUUUCAUAGUUGUAAAAAGAUCAGCCGCGAUCCAUUCCUUAGACACUCGUAAUGAUGGAUAGCCUUCUUCACACUCGAUCGCUGCUCUCCAUGUCUUAUGUAUCUUGGCAGGGGCCGGCUUUCGAUCGUCUGGGGUGGGUUGAUCAAUAUUCAUGGCAUUCGGACGGCCAUUCCCAUUUGAAUCCAAAGCUUGUCUUUGCUCAACCCAAUAUUGGAGGCUCAGACCAAUCCGGCCGUCUUGGUGGAUCCCGGGAUGGCCCAACUGGCUCGUGCAAACAUGUUCACAAUGGCCCCUCCCUGGAUAUCGGCUUAAUUCACCUUCCCAUAGUCGGUUCAAACUCUUGUAUAGUCCUUCGACUGCUUCAAAGCAGUUGAUCUCUCGACUGAGCCGAUCCAAUUUGGCUAGCCUAUGUAAAUUUGAAUGGAACGCAUCAAGGCUUUUCCAAGGAAUCUCUUCAUUCUUCCCAACAGUCUGCAUUAGAUCUCGCUUUAGUACCGCAGUAGCCUCUACUCGUCUUUCCCCUUCCACAACACUUGGAGUAGUAUACUUUAAGCUGACAUCCUUAACGUUCUCCGACCCAUCUUCAAACUGGAUCUCCAAAUCCACAAGGUUCCCAGCAAUGCUUAGUAUAUUUUCUUGCCACAUACAUUCGAAGCCCUCAAACUUCCCUAGCCUCUCCACACCUUCACGGCAUAUGCCUCUUCCAGAAACACGAGUUCUCAGCAGACGGAUCACCUCUUCCAUUCGGCGAGCUUUCUCUUCAUCAGUGUCCCUUGGGCCGCCCAUACCCAAGGCCGACAUCCCCAUUGCAUGGAUGCCGUUUUCGUUGAUCCCUGGCCCGGUUAGAGCAUCGUUCCCCGCAGGAGAUGGCGUGAUACCGCCCAAGCCAAGAGCCAGCAGCGCUGAUGGUGAGCUGAAUGCGACAGCAUCCUCCACCGAGGUAGGGGCAGCCAUGGGGGUCGGAUACUGGUGUGAAGAAAUACUGGGGUGGUGUCCAUGGCCAGAAGCAGAAGGCGUCCUAAUAGACGGGGACUUGUGGGAAAGUGGACGGCCCAUGGGCACUGCUGAUGGAUGAGGUGAUGAAGUUGGGUGAGGCGUUUGCCCAGGGUUGUGCCUGGAUGACGGGGUGGCCAUGAUUAUGAUGAUGGGUCCCCGUCUAACAAGCAGAUUUGAGUCGGCGCGAACCCGCCACAAACUGGAUUGAGAUUGCCUAGUAACAUAAAUAGUGCUUUUAAUACAGCUGUAGAAGCCGCUAUGGCUGGAAAAAUCACAGCUCUGAUUGAUUCAGAUCGGGCUUCCUUGGGAAUCAAAGAGUUACGGCUCAAUCGUAACCAGAGUCAAAACAAAUCCAUGAAAUCAUUUCCGGGGGCGUCUUUAGUAAAAUUAGGUACUGCGCAAAGCUUGUGGGCGCCAAAGCUGCCCUGCUUCGAGAACCCUUUGAGUUAUGCGGCUUUAUCAUUGACUCCUGCAGCGAAUUAAGAGCUGGUCCGGUGUUGAGCAACGCGAAGUCAUGUGAUGUAGCUAGUUACUAAAUGGAUUGGUUGUUUUAAGCGCUCCAAACAACCGCGUCUAAGUUCAAAGCUUUAUCGGACAUUUUUCACCUCAAUUGCACAAUUAUAGAGCUAGAAGUAACGAUAUAUAUGUAUACAUAUAUACGCAUCUAUCCAGUUCUCUGAUGGCAAUAAUUUUAUGCAGUGCUCGCCGCACUGUUUUCAAUCCAAUGAGAUUUCACACUCGAUCUUUAACUACCCUGCAGGGCAACUCACAUAUUUUUGUUUUCCCAAAUCCUCAAACCCCGAAUAGCUAUAUACUCUCUCUUUUGCCGACAGAACCUCCGAAACCCAAGCUUGCCAUCGGAGUCACUUCCUCACUUCCUCCAACCACCAGUUCUUUCAAAGAAAACCCCGCGUUUCUCACUACCCUUCAGUCAGUUAUUGCAGAACAUGCUCAUAAUGAUCCUGACGUAGUGUCGCAGGGGCAAGUAAUGACUUUCACAAGCGGAAUGAAUCUUGCCGCCGUCAGUCGGGGAAAACCGAAGCGGAGACGAGAUGCUGCCAGUUUAAAUGAAGGUCCAGAGGGCGGUGCAGAUUCCCCUAGAAGAGGUGGAUGGAUUCACAUAUCUGAUACGAGGAAUCCUCCGGAGUUUGCAAGGAGUCCAUGGCCGGAGGAUAUAUUCGGUAGCCUCGAAGUUGAUGGGAAUGGAAACAUUGAAGGAAAUUACCAACCCAGUGGUACCUACCGACUCAUCACAUCGAAGGGAAUCCUCGGUCUCAGUCCAUUCAUGCGGGAGAAACUUAUUCAGCGCCUUCGUUCAGAGGAGAAUAGUUAGCACAUCAAGUGGCUAGAAAUUGCAAUUGGCAAACUACUCCACUCUUGAUUAUAUAUACCCUUGUAGGAUAAAAAAGGGAUCGGUAAAUCAUUUAUGGCAGGCCAUUGGGCCAUCGUGAAGGGUUAGUGCUCUGCGUUUUGGGCUACUCCCGAAACGAAUGGCUUUACGAUCAAUAAAUCGGACCAUUCUCUUACAACCUGUCUGUGUUCAUAGUUGCGAUAUUUUAUCUUAAAUAAGAUUGGGAUCCAGUCGACAUUGUCGUGGAAUUGUGUGUGCAUAUACCCACGACACCGUAGGACUACAUGCAGCUUUGUCUUCCGGGUUAGCAUAACGCUGGCACUAUAGCAAGCGGCUGCUUUACGAAACUCACCAACAAAGGAUUGCGAACAGAUCGCGUCAUGAUCCUAUCGAAUUACCUGUCACCCGGUUUAGAGGCAGGCCAAAUGAUAAUUGAGGCAACAUCCACGUCUCUCAUACUCUAUACUUCUCAUCAUAUUUUCGGGUACUCAUCGCACGGAGGAUCAGCCAGGUCUGCGAGAAAAUGUUUACAAAGGCGAAAGGAAGAAAGGUAGUUGCAAAUUGAAUCGUAACGUCCUCGUCAAUUUAUGGGUGCAAGGUUGUAUCGUUGGUGUGGCAUGUCAGUGUGCUGUUUGGAGAAACGAGCAAUGGUUGUCUUUGCAGCUCUGUGGUGAAUCCCUAAUCUAUUUGCCUGGUCUCCGGUGCUCUCUCAUCUGCAGUCUCAGAUUCUCUUGUCUUCACUACAGUUCGUUCACGAACAAAGAAAACUCUGGUAUCGAAGAGAAUAGACGUGAGCAUGCAUUGGGAACUUGUAAAGGAAGAUAUAUCCGGAGGAUUGGUUCCAUACUACCCAGAGCCUGUCAAAAGAGCAUGAGAACAAGUGAUAUGACUAGCCCAACCUGAUGCAUUGAUCUUUUUGGCGCAAUGGCCUGCGCCAUGCAUUAUUAUGAAAGUUUCAUAUACAUCAUAUACAUAUAACUUCCGCGUACACUUCUCAAGUUAAACAUGACGCAAAAUAAAUUACAUGAUCCCAAAAUGACAACAUGAAAGAACCGCUCGGGUAGAUAGUUUGUAACAGAUUCUGAUAACAAUUUGCUCCGUUAGCAGCAAGAACAAAUGUGCAACUUUCAAAUGGUAUCACAGAAACAAGACAAAUAA